GCCCUUUCUGGAUAAUCUACAUCUACUCCUGUUCUACACCAUAUUGGUGUGAAACUACGGUCUACAAUAUAUCUGUGGUGUACAAUAUAUUGAAGCACACACUGACAGCAUGGACCCUCUACUGGAAAACCUGCCCCGCAGGAAUGUGAAAUUGUGAUUUUCCAGCGUAUUGGCCAGUUUGUGUUUCCUGGGCACCUGAUUGCCUGCAGGAUGUCCAUCUUCAGAGGUUGAUGGAACAGUCUGCAGCCCAUGUCUGGCUGGUGAUGGAAGGACGACGGAACUCCAGGCCCACGAUUAGAUGACUUUGCCCAGGGCUACGUCUGCAGUCCACAAGGACUCUGCCGCAGAAGACUGCGGGGGUGGACACACCUCACAAGUCACAGUGAAAGGGACACAUCAGGUGUGACGUUGAUGAGAAUAAGCACCGCACCGGGGAGACAGGAGCGGAACUGGGUAACGUUCGUGCAGUAUUUUCGUGGCCUUGUGCUUUUCUUAACAUGCUGGGCCUGUUUGGCAUUAGUGUCUCUGAACAGGCUGAAUGUGUCUAAGGGGGAAAGGGAAUGUCUCCUGUACAUCCACAUUCCCUUCUUCUUAGUUACUGCUAUCCAUGCAAUAUGUCUCCUGUGUUUGUAUGUGUUCUUUGCCGUCUUGCACAAGAGCACGGAGAAUGACAGAAAUGCAGUUUUUAUCCCAUCUCAUUGCUUUACUCAUUUUCCAUCCAGUACUCGCUUCCCGUGGGAGAGCUGUGAUAGAUGAAAGAGUCUGGUUUUCCACACAAAGGUUCAUUAUUAACUUACUAUGAUUUCGCUUAAUGCUUUUCCAUUUAGCUUGAUGCAAAUAUAGAAUACAUUAUGUAUAGAACUCUAAUCUGGAGUAAAUCUUCAGUGAAAGUAAUUAUUUUGUAUUUCAGCAUCCGUAUUACGUCUCACACAAAGCUGUAAUGUUGGUCAUACCUAGACGUAGAAACAGGACGGUCACUCUGACUGAUGUAGAGUGCACCAUGUUAACAAGCAUGCGAAGAAUUAUUAUUAUUACAGUUAUUCAGAAACCUGUUAUGUAAGAUGUCAUUCUUUGGUAAAAUUGUAGUUUAUGAAGGAUUACUUUUCAAAUAUUUGCUGUGCCUACGGAAAUUUCGGGACAAAAUCUUAUGAAUUCUAUGUAUAAACAAUUGAGAAAAAACAGUAAAAACAGGUAAACGAUGUAUAUUCAUUAAAAUGUCUGCUAUUAAUUUUAAUUAUUUGCAUCCUCCUUACUGAACACUAUCCUUUAUUUCAUAGCCUGAAAAACACAAUAUUCUUCUUUGUAUAACAUUUUGUUAAUAAUACAUUGUCUCAUUAUACACAAACUCCUUUUAUACACAAAUUAAUAA